GUCUUUGCGCAGUGGCAGUAUCGUAGCCAAAGAGGUUUAUCCAAGGCGCGAUUAUUGCUAAUUGAAAACUUUUCCCAGAG
rnacentral:snRNA from 1 species